rnacentral:rRNA from 1 species
AGUGAACGCUGGCGGUAGGCCUAACACAUGCAAGUCGAACGGCAGCACAGUAAGAGCUUGCUCUUACGGGUGGCGAGUGGCGGACGGGUGAGGAAUACAUCGGAAUCUACUUUUUCGUGGGGGAUAACGUAGGGAAACUUACGCUGAUACCGCAUACGACCUACGGGUGAAAGCAGGGGAUCUUCGGACCUUGCGCGAUUGAAUGCGCCGAUGUCGGAUUAGCUAGUUGGCGGGGUAAAGGCCCACCAAGGCGACGAUCCGUAGCUGGUCUGAGAGGAUGAUCAGCCACACUGGAACUGAGACACGGUCCAGACUCCUACGGGAGGCAGCAGUGGGGAAUAUUGGACAAUGGGCGCAAGCCUGAUCCAGCCAUACCGCGUGGGUGAAGAAGGCCUUCGGGUUGUAAAGCCCUUUUGUUGGGAAAGAAAAGCAGCAGGUUAAUACCCCGCUGUUCUGACGGUACCCAAAGAAUAAGCACCGGCUAACUUCGUG